UACGUAGGGGCCUAGCGUUGUCCGGAUUUAUUGGGCGUAAAGCGCGCGUAGGCGGCCCGGUAAGUCCGCUGUGAAAGUCCAGGGCUCAACCCUGGGAUGCCGGUCGAUACUGCCGGACUAGAGUUCGGAAGAGGCGAGUGGAAUUCCCGGUGUAGCGGUGAAAUGCGCAGAUAUCGGGAGGAACACCAAUGGCGAAGGCAGCUCGCUGGGACGUUACUGACGCUGAGACGCGAAAGCGUGGGGAGCGAACAGG
rnacentral:rRNA from 1 species